rnacentral:misc_RNA from 1 species
GUGAAUCAUCAAAUCUUUGAACGCAAAUUGCACUCUCUUCGGAGAGUAUGCCUGUUUGAGGGUCAGCCUAAAAAAAACCAAAUUGGUGGUUGUUUGGGGUGGGGUUUGUUGGGAAUUUGGGUUUCUUAAAAUUUUGGGUUAAGGGGAUUAAAAAUUUCUUUAAGGUUUCAAGAAAGGUUUUAAGGUUUUUUUGUUUAAUAGGUUAAAGG